UUUCAUCUGGGUAAAAAGAAUUUCAAUUUAUUAUAGUCUAUGACCUUCUCCCAAAAAUUUUUGUAACAGUAUUGAAUUUGCUUCUUUAAGUGGGGCUGCUGGCCAGCUAUCAAGAGCACGCUUAUUCUAAAUACCUUCUAAAACAGUCAAUGAGCCUGUAUUAAACUAUUCAUCUUUUUUACAUAUAGUAUGUAUUCUCAAGAUAGCUAACCAAAGUUGGGUACAGUAUAGCUACUCAUCAGUUGCAAUCCAAGGUUAAGAGCCCAGUAAACCAACAAUCUAGGGAUUAAUAAAUAUUAUUCUAUAGCAAUAAAAAGUAAUCCCUCUAUAUUAAAAUCAUAGAAUCGAUGCACUUAAAAUUUGGAGGGUAUACUGGAAACCAUCUCAUCCAGCCCCUCACUUUAUUGAUAAGAAAACAAACCCAGAGAAAUGACUUGCCCAAGGUAACAAAUGAACAGAAAGGUAAGUCUAGAACCCAACUCUCCUAAGUCUCAGCUCAGUGCUUUUUACUUUCCACUUUCCCUUCAUAUUUCAUUUAGUAUUUCAUAAAAGAGCAACAAUUCCAAUGAAUAAAAAUCGAAGAAAAACUAAGGUUGGGAACACAGUACAAAAACAAAAUGGGCAUUCAAUUGGUAUACCCCAGUACUAGUAAAUCUAAGGUUGCAAAUUUGAUCCAAAUACAAGAAAAAUAAAACUCAUUCCGUAUUUCAGACUGCAUUAGUAUAUGUUAGCAGAUACGUACUAUAUGGACCUAAAGAUAACCAGACAAACUGGUUUGGCCAACAUAUCAUGGCUCAAACCUGUGUCUUUCUGCUACUAUGUGUGUACUAUCUUUGAGUUUAUAAAGAAGAAAAAAAUUCAAACGUGAACCUCAUCUAAUAAUUCUAUGCAACCUUCCAUAAGCAAAGGUGAUACUAUAUAUAUAUAUUUUAAUAUUUUGUAAAGACAGAGUCUCAGUAUGUUGCUAAGGCUGGUCUCAAAUUCCUGGGCUCAAGCCAUCCUCCCACCUCAGCCUCCCAAAGUGCUGGGCUGUUUACAGGCAUAAGCCACCACACCUGCACUCAACAGCGUAGCUUAAUGCAAUUGAAUUGGCCAAUGAAGAAUUGCCAUAACUUCAUUCUUAACUGAAAACUUAUUUAAUAAUAAAUAAAAGCUUACAGAAGAGUCAAUAUUUAUUUCUAAAUAAAACAUUGUCUCUUAUCAAAAUGAACUACACCAAAAAAACAAAUGCAGCAGAAAACUAUCACCUUAGGAUCAGACUACACCUGGCUUUAAGGAUUUUACAAGAUGAUAAUCUUAAAAGGACAAUAUGCUAUAAGAUUACAAGAAAAAUAAGAUUCAUAAAUGUUAAUAUUGCAAAGGCACAAGAAAUCACAUUUUUUAUUCCUUUGCAGUUGAAUUACUAGGAACAAGUCAAGAAGCCUCAAAAGAAUCAAGGCGUAAAAUACCAAGAACCUACUGGAGAAUAUAUAUUCCAUCAAAAUCAGGAAGAAACCCAAGAAAGAUGGCAUGGAAUCCAGCAAAGAAGGGAUCCAAUAUAGGAGAAAAACUAAGAGAAUCUCAAAAUGGUGAAGCAAAGUCACAGUAACAUAUGGAGAAGGCCUAGAAGGCAACAAAUCCAGACAGGAAUGUGACAGAGAAUCCAAGAUAGUUAUUUCUGAGGGAUUUUACAAAGGCACUGGAAGAUGUAAGAAAUUAAGCUUUAGGUAAAAAAAUUAAACAAAUGAAAAAAAUGAGAUAAUUCAUGAAUGCCAGUAAAAUUAAAGUUCUGUAAGAAAUAAAACAUAGUCAUAGAUACUGACUUAGCAAAUAGUAUUUACACAGCCACAAUUAUGAAAAAACCAAAUAUAGGUUUUAUUAAAAGUACGAUAUAACUAUAUUAGGAGGAUGGGGGUGUAGUAUGAAAUGUAUAAGAGAAAGAAGGAAGGCAACCCUAUAAUCACAGCUGAAAUCAACUGUGGAAAUGAAGCACAUUCUAAUUUCUAAUAAGGCUUUCUCCAAUCUCCAGUACUAAUUAGAUGUGAUUAAGAGCAGCCAACUUGACUGUUAAAGCUUGCUUCAGGAAGUAUCUUUUUUCUUAGAACAAGUAUGUUGAAACCUAAGCAUGGUGCUAAACACAUCCUCCAAGAAUCUCCAAGCUCUGGCUUGGCACAGACUUUCUCUUGACAGCUGCUCAGCUGAAACAGGACUGGGAAAUAGCCACAAUACUGGAUAAUACUGGUGGACUCAAGACCUGGAAAGAAUACUAAGACAGAAUCCAAUUUGGGCCUGAACUCCCAAACCAUCACAAACCAACCAAACUCCUAUGAUACCCUGCUCAACUGAACUUCAACCCCAAUUAACUUUAAGAAAUGACUGGAGCUUAUCCAAAACUCUGGACAUAUAUCCUGUCAUUUAAUAAGGAACUGGAAUAGGAAUUCAAAGCAUUCUCUCAAAUUCAUUAUUUUGGCAUUAUGUACUGAGCAUCUCCUACAUGCCAGUUAAUGCUGCUGGGGAAAACAGUAUUGACCAAAAGCAACCUGGGCUAUGGGACCUUCCCGGCCUGUAAUGAUGACAAAAAUAACAGUAAAGUGAGAAAAAGCAAAAAGUCUUAUAAUACAAAAGAAUAAAACAAAAAAAUGAAUAGACAUUAAACUCAUCCAUGAAAUGCA